GGAAAAUCUGGCAAAGGGCCUAUACAUGGAUAAAAGUAACAUGUUGGUAUCCUGUCCAGAGUUGAUUCUUACCUGGUACUCUGAGCUGCUGGAGUAGGCACUGGACACCCAAGACUCUGAACUGGAAUGAAUGGUAUGUAAGGCAACCCCUGUAGAAGGAGACAAAACAAGGAGAAAGAGAACAAAGCCUACCAGACCAGAGGCGAAGAGAUGGAUAUUUUACUCACACCCACAGCAGCAAGAAUGACCUCCUGCAGCAGAUAUUCCACCUCUAAUAGCACUUUGGAACUAUGGGCAAAACCAAAAGGCUAGUGUUUCCAUUUAUUUCACAUUGGUGUAUGGGGUUGAACUGGAAAAUUCACUGAGGCAUAACUCACUGGCCAAAUUUUGAGAUGGUAUAUAAGAUGACUUUAGAGAUGAGUGGCUUUGUUUAUGUGUCUAAUGAUAUUCAGUCUGACGUUCUGCAAUUUUAAAAGUUUAAUAAAGUAUCUUUUUUUAAUCAGAAAAAAAAAAUGUGGCACAUAUACACCAUGGAAUA